GCUUUUCUGUGGCUUAGUUGGUAGAGCAUUACGCUAAUAACGCAAAAGCACGUGGGUUGAAUCCCAGGGAAUGCA